rnacentral:rRNA from 2 species
UACGUAGGGUGCAAGCGUUAAUCGGAAUUACUGGGCGUAAAGCGUGCGCAGGCGGUUAUGUAAGACAGGUGUGAAAUCCCAGGGCUUAACCUUGGAACUGCAUUUGUGACUGCAUAGCUAGAGUACGGUAGAGGGGGAUGGAAUUCCGCGUGUAGCAGUGAAAUGCGUAGAUAUGCGGAGGAACACCGAUGGCGAAGGCAAUCCCCUGGGCCUGUACUGACGCUCAUGCACGAAAGCGUGGGGAGCAAACAGG